rnacentral:rRNA from 1 species
CCCGCACAAGCGGAGGAGCAUGUGGUUUAAUUCGAUGAUACGCGAGGAACCUUACCUGGGCUCGAACGUAAGAUGACUGUAGGUGAAAGCUUACAUCUCUCGGAGCAUUUUACGGAGGUGCUGCAUGGUUGUCGUCAGCUCGUGCCGUGAGGUGUCGGGUUAAGUCCCAUAACGAGCGCAACCCCUACCUUUAGUUGCCAGCAGUUCGGCUGGGCACUCUAAAGGGACUGCCGGUGUUAAACCGGAGGAAGGUGGGGAUGACGUCAAGUCCUCAUGGCCUUUAUGACCAGGGCUACACACGUACUACAAUGGCCGAUACAAAGGGCAGCGACACUGCGAGGUGAAGCCAAUCCCGUAAAAUCGGUCUCAGUCCGGAUUGGAGUCUGCAACUCGACUCCAUGAAGUUGGGAAUCGCUAGUAAUCGUGGAUCAGCAUGCCACGGUGAAUACGUUCCCGGGCCUU